GGAAUGGUAAAUUGGGUUUUAGUUAAUUCCUUGUGGAUGCUUUUCGGACAACAUAUAUGAUUCCAACUCACAUCUGUGACUAAAGAUGCAGCAGGGAAGCGCAAUCACUCCACACAUACCCAUACAAGUUGGUUGAUAAACUUGAAGCACCUUAAAGCUUUUCCCUCCAGUCAGAUUUCAACUAGAUGCGAAGAUAAUGGAUGACUUUUAGAAGCCAAUUACAGAGAAAGCUUGGAAUUACUUGAACAAGCAAGCUGCAGACUCGUUGCCUGAUCUUUUGCUGCCAUCAUCAACCAUUUGGUCCUUGGACUCUAAUUCUAUGCUACUGGUUUUACACCAGCCGGGGUAAAAACACAGUAUUGCAUGCGUCACAGGCAGCUUGAUGGGGGCAAAUCUGGAACCGCGGACGAUAUUAUUGGGUGUUAACGGCGACAGGGGGCUUUGAGCCGCCCAAUCUGACUGACCGCCCCUACCUUUCUUUUCUCUAGUAGUCCCUGUCGUGCCUGACAUGGCGUACACGUGUGCGAGACACUCGUCCGUGCCUGUUGCAGACGCCUACGACUCUCUCUGUACGCGCGUGUUGUAGUUCCCAAUGUGCAAAACGUGAAAUUAGCAUGGACUAAGAAUGGUAUAAUAUCUGGAAAAUGUCGUGGACCGACUUGAUUUGUUUGUCAUUACAUUAUUCUAGAUGAAGUGCAUGUAUGAUCGCUUCAAAUGUUGGUGCCAUAUUUUCUUUUAAAAUAUA